AAUGGGGGCAACCCUGAUCUAGCCAUGCCGCGUGAGUGAAGAAGGCCUUAGGGUCGUAAAGCUCUUUCAGCUGGGAAGAUAAUGACGGUACCAGCAGAAGAAGCCCCGGCUAACUCCGUGCCAGCGGCCGCGGUAAUACGGAGGGGGCUAGCGUUGUUCGGAAUUACUGGGCGUAAAGCGCGCGUAGGCGGGCUGUUAAGUCGGGGGUGAAAUCCCGGGGCUCAACCCCGGAACUGCCUCCGAUACUGGCAGCCUAGAGAUCGAGAGAGGUGAGUGGAAUUCCGAGUGUAGAGGUGAAAUUCGUAGAUAUUCGGAGGAACACCAGUGGCGAAGGCGGCUCACUGGCUCGAUACUGACGCUGAGGCGCGAAAGCGUGGGGAGCAAACGGGAUU
rnacentral:rRNA from 1 species